AGACAAUUAAUGAUGUACUUAUAAAGGAAAAACAACAUAAUGCACUGUGUAAAAAUAUCAGAUCAGUGGUUGGUCACUUUAAGCACAGUAUUCGAGCUAAUAAAUUGUUGAAAAAAUUUUAGUCUGAAAAUAAAGUUUCUACCCAUAAGUUUAUACAAGAUAGAAUAGUACAUUCUUAAUUCUCAAUCGAUAUUUAGAACAAAAA